GCCAAGGCCUUAGGAUCAAUGAAUCCUUUCCUGUAACAUCAUAAAACAUUCCAUAGCACAACAUAUAUGAAGAAACAGAGUAGAAGAAGUCAGAGUAAGGAGUGGCCAAUCGAUCCAAACCGGCCAGGCUCACACGGCCAUCAUCCGCGGCCUUGUCCGGUUACUCUUGGCCACACCUCUCACCUUAGGAGUUCGGUCUCCAGGGGUGACUUCCUUCUCUUUCUCCUUUGCCUUC
rnacentral:lncRNA from 1 species